GGCGAACGGGUGAGUAACACGUGGGCAACCUGCCCUCAGCUCUGGGAUAACUCCAAGAAAUUGGUGCUAAUACCGGAUGUGACCGCUGACCGCAUGGUCUGGUGGUGGAAAGAUUUAUCGGCUGAGGAUGGGCCCGCGGCUAUCAGCUUGUUGGUGGGGUCACGGCCCACCAAGGCGACGACGGGUAGCCGGCCUGAGAGGGUGACCGGCCACACUGGGACUGAGACACGGCCCAGACUCCUACGGGAGGCAGCAGUGGGGAAUAUUGCGCAAUGGGCGAAAGCCUGACGCAGCGACGCCGCGUGAGGGAUGACGGCCUUCGGGUUGUAAACCUCUUUCAGUAGGGACGAAGCGCAAGUGACGGUACCUACGGAAGAAGCACCGGCCAACUACGUGCCAGCCGCCGCGG
rnacentral:rRNA from 1 species